rnacentral:rRNA from 1 species
GUAGGGGGCAAGCGUUGUCCGGAUUUAUUGGGCGUAAAGAGCGUGUAGGCGGCCAUGUAGGUCCGAUGUGAAAACUGGGGGCUCAACCUCCAGCUGUCGUCGGAAACCAUGUGGCUAGAGUCCGGAAGAGGAGAGUGGAAUUCCUGGUGUAGCGGUGAAAUGCGCAGAUAUCAGGAAGAACACCUAUGGCGAAGGCAGCUCUCUGGGACGGUACUGACGCUGAGACGCGAAAGCGUGGGGAGCGAACAGGAUUAGAUACCCUGGUAGUCCACGCCGUAAACGAUGGGCGCUAGGUGUGGGCGGUGUCGACUCCGUCCGUGCCGCAGCUAACGCAUUAAGCGCCCCGCCUGGGGAGUACGGCCGCAAGGCUA